rnacentral:lncRNA from 1 species
UUUUGAAACUGUUAUAACACAACUUAUAACAUUGGAAAUACAUUAUUUUAUUAAUACAAAGUUGUUUUCAUAGUAAAAUACCAAAUUAAAGUCAGAAUGAAACAUACCAUAUACAUGUAGACGACAAAUGAAAACUGUCAAUGUAUCCUUAUCUCUAAAAAGCCACAAAUUACAUUCUUUGAAGUAAAUAUUGGGUUUUAUUUCCUAAACUAUACACAUCAAUAUCACCUCCUGAAGCUUUUUACCCAGUUUCACGGUUGGUAUUUCGGACAUGCAAUGUUCCAUGCUGUCAACCUUGGAAUGCCUCGUUUGGAUACAGGGAGACAAAGACUUGGAGACCCAGAAGUCUGAAAGUGGUUCUUGACCGACUUUGUCCACUCAAAUUAAGGCAUCAUGCAGCUGGUCAUCACUUACAUUGCUGGUUGCACGCAGGCACACACACACCAGUGCUCACAGCCAGCACGUGUUAAGAAUGGCUGAGCUGGACCAAAUGGUAUGCGUGUCUUUCAUCAAUAUAAACAUGGACUGCAUUCAUCUGGACACGGGCCUUUCCCACCUACCGAGCCUGCCCACCACCCGAAGUUUAAGCUCAUCUUGGAAGACCUGACACUCAGCAAGCCGUCUCCCCUUGUUCCACCGGCUUUGUGGCCCCAAUGUCUGUAUAAGCUGCUGAUUUGCCUUCGGAAAACAAACCAGCAUCGAUUUCAGAGAAAUUACUGGAUAAUUUGCGCUGUGAGGCGCCUAGAUCGCAAGGCGCACUCCACAAAUGACAGCCGCUCCCGUGCACUUGUCCAGUCAUUCGGGUGGCAUAGUGUCCGGGUGGAAGCCCGCCAAAAUAAUCCAUUUGGAAGGCACGGAGGGCUUCACUAGAAAUUGCCUUCCUGUAGCUAUGAGACAUUGAGCAAAACAGAUAAGAACUGGGGCAAUGGAGGCAUAAACAUUAAGGCUAGGAUGUAUUUUUGGGGAGAAAGCGGAGGCUAGCAGGGAGGAAGCUCAACUUUAUGCACCGCGCCCGGGAAUGCUUUGCCUUUAACCACUAGCUGAGCCGCCCGGCUGAGGGAGCCCUCCGGCAAUGAGCGCACGCAACCGUGAAGUCAGAUUCCUCCGCCGACCGCGGCCCUCUCUCCUCGGGCUUUGCCUUCGCUCUCCAGCUUUUCUUCUUUCACUCCCGCUCGCCGACUCCAGUCCGCUGGGCUCACGCUCUGCCGGACACCAAUCCCGGCUGCCCUGCCCGACGGAGCUCAAGGCUAGGCCUGGCCUUGUCCGCGGAGUCCGCCCCUCGCCGCCACCGGGAUCCGCCCCCGCGCCGACACGCACUUCCGGCAGCGCCGCGGCCGGGAGGGACCGAGCGGGGAGCAAGGCCUGCGGUGAGGCGCAGGAUGGACGCGUUGGCUGUCAUGAUGUAGGAUCUCCUGACCUAGAACCAUGCCCGGCGCAGGGAGAACAACGAGCUUAUGGACCGGGUGCGGGGGCUGCUGUGCGAGAAAGCCUACCUGCUGGCCCGGGAGCGUUCGCUGGCCCACCUGGUGGCUUUCCCUAGACGUUUAACGGCGACUCCGCCCGGCCUCCCGACUUUUUGAUGCAGGCGUUCUCUUACAUGACUUUCUUCGAGGCUAGAUUCUCGAAAGACAUCCUGAAGGUGGCUUUCUUAAUUAGCUGCCUCACCGAGUGGCGGAGCAGUUCGUAGUCCCCUACAUCGAGAGGGAGAGCCCCGUCCUGGCUCAGUACUAGGGCUUCGUGGACGCGCUGUAGCGGGCCUUGGCCGUUGUGGGUAGGAAACAGUCGGGCCGGAUCCCCGGUGUCUGGGGAGCGGCUGCGGCCCGGGCCCGCGCGAGCCACUUCGCUCCUACAAGCCCGGCUCACUAGUUCCAAGCUGCUGGACUUUGACCCUCGCUGGGAAGCUUGAUCGCCGCCUGUUCUCGCCAAUCUCUGCCUUUGCACUGCCCAGCAACCCGGUCACUGCCCAGGACCUGUUAAAAGUUGAAUGGACCUCCCAGAAUCACGCCGCUGCCACCGCCGUUUCUAGAGACGGCUUUUGGCCACCUUUGAGAAUCAGGGUCAAACUUGGAAGGGCCUGCAUUUGUCACACCUCCUCGGACACUAAUUUGGAUAGUUCAGGCCCAGAGACAGCUUCCCGGAUCCUUUGCACAUGGCCUGCUAUCAACAAUCUUCUACAAUGAUUCUCAGCAUCACCUGGGGAGCUUAUGCAAAAUCUCAAAUUCCUGGGCCCUAUCCCCAGAGUUUCUUAUCGAGUAAGUCUGCAUUGGGAUCUGAGGAUUUGCAUCUCUAACAAAAAUUCCUAGGCGAUGCUCACACUGUUGGUGUAAGGUUUCCUUGAUGGAGAACUAUCAAAGCAGUCAAAGCUAUCAAAAUAAAAAAGAAUUCUGAUUGGGUGCAGUGGCUCACACCUGUCAUUCCAGCACUUUGACAGGCCAAGGUGGGCAGAUCACAUGAGGCCAGGAGUUCAAGACCAGCCUGGCCAACAUGGCAGAAACCCCAUCUCUACUAAAAAUACCAAAAUUAGCCGGGCAUGGUGGAACACACCUGCAAUCCCAGCUACUCGGGAGGCUGAAGCAAGAGAAUCGCUUGAACCUGGGAGGCAGAAGUUGCAGUGAAACAAGGUGGUGCCAAUGCAUUCCAGCCUGGAUGACAGAGCGAGACUCUGUCUCAAGAAAAAAACAAAAACACAAACAGAACUCUGCCUCAUAGCAUCUUUUAAGUUAUACACUGGACCUAUCCUUUCCUCACUGACAGACAUUUUAAAAAUUUUUUGGUAAGGCCUAGUUCAUAUAAAAUGUAAUCCAAGCCAAAAGUGAACAAGAAUAAGGGGAGGAAAGGGGACUCCAAUAGCAGAGAAAGGUAUUUACCUGGGAUAUACACUGCAAGAAAAUCAAAGCUAUAAGAAAUGUCCAUGAAUAGUAGCCAUAAGGCAUCAGAGUGAUAAAAUUCCUGUCCCUAGGAGGGAAUAUUGGAGUUUGCCAGAGAAACAGAAUGAGAGAGACAGAGAGGUUUAUUGUAGGAAUUGGCUCAUAUGAUUACGGAGGCUGAGAAGACCCACGAUCUGCCAUCUGCAAGCUGGAGAAUCAGGAAAGCUGGAGGUGUAAUUCAGUCAAGUCCAAUGGCCAGAGAAGCAAGUGUACUGAUAUCCAAGAGCAGGAGAAAGUAGAUGUCCCAGAACAAGCAGAGAGGCUGAUUUUGUCCUUCCUCUGCCUUUUUGUUUCAUAUGGGGCACUGAAUGGACUGAUGCCCAUCCACAUUAGUGAGGGUGGAUCUUCUUUACUCAGUCUACCAAUAGAAAUGUCAAUGACUUCCAGAAACACCCUCACCAACACACGUGGAAAUAAUGUUUUACCAGGUAUCUGGGCAUCCCUUGGUUCACUCAAAUUGACACAAAAUUAACCAUCACAGAAGGAGACUGGCCUUACUCUGAAAUUAGGAAACUAAAGAAGUGACCAGAAUGGAGACUAGGUAGAGACAACUAGUUCUCUUCUCUACCAUAUGUACAGUCAUUCCUUGGUAUCUGAGGGGGAUUGGUUCCAGGAACUCUCAGGGAUACCAAAAUCUGCAGGUGCUCAAGUCAUUUAUGUAAAAUGUUACAGUAUUUGCAUAUAACCUUUGCACAUCUUCCAUAUACUUUAAAUCAUCUUUACAUUACUUAUAAUAAUGAAUGUAGUGUA